rnacentral:rRNA from 1 species
UACGGGGGGGGGCAAGCGUUGUUCGGAAUUACUGGGCGUAAAGGGCUCGUAGGUGGCCAACUAAGUCAGACGUGAAAUCCCCAGGCUCAACUUGGGAACUGCGUCUGAUACUGGAUGGCUUGAAUCCGGGAGAGGAGACUGGAAUUCACGGUGUAGCAGUGAAAUGCGUAGAGAUCGUGAGGAAGACCAGUGGCGAAGGCGGGUCUCUGGACAGUUCCUGACACUGAGGCACGAAGGCCAGGGGAGCAAACGGG